GACGAACGCUGGCGGCGUGCUUAACACAUGCAAGUCGAGCGAGACUUCGGUCUAGCGGCGAACGGGUGAGUAACACGUGGGCAACCUGCCCCGAGCUCUGGGAUAACUCCGGGAAACCGGGGCUAAUACCGGAUAUGACUCAAGAAGACAUCUUUUUGAGUGGAAAGUUUUUCGGCUCGGGAUGGGCCCGCGGCCUAUCAGCUUGUUGGUGGGGUAACGGCCUACCAAGGCGACGACGGGUAGCCGGCCUGAGAGGGCGACCGGCCACACUGGGACU
rnacentral:rRNA from 1 species